GACGAACGCUGGCGGCGUGCUUAACACAUGCAAGUCGAACGGUGAAGCGCCUUCCUUUUUGGUGGGUGUGGUUGAGUGGCGAACGGGUGAGUAACACGUGAGUAACCUGCCCCCUUCUUCUGGAUAACCGCAUGAAAGUGUGGCUAAUACGGGAGAUUCUGGGUCUGUCGCAUGAUGGGUCUGGGAAAGAUAUUGUUUCGGUUGGGGAUGGGCUCGCGGCCUAUCAGCUUGUUGGUGGGGUGAUGGCCUACCAAGGCGGUGACGGGUAGCAGGCCUGAGAGGGUGGGCGGUCACACUGGGACUGAGACCCGGCCCAGACUCCUACGGGAGGCAGCAGUGGGGAAUAUUGCACAAUGGGCGAAAGCCUGAUGCAGCGACGCCGCGUGAGGGAUGGAGGCCUGCGGGUUGUGAACCUCUUUCGCCAGUGAAGCAGGCCUGCCUCGUUUGUGGGUGGGUUGACGGUAGCUGGAUAAGAAGCGCCGGCUAACUACGUG
rnacentral:rRNA from 1 species